AUUGAACGCUGGCGGCAGGCUUAACACAUGCAAGUCGAGCGGGGGAAGGUAGCUUGCUACUGGACCUAGCGGCGGACGGGUGAGUAAUGCUUAGGAAUCUGCCUAUUAGUGGGGGACAACAUCUCGAAAGGGAUGCUAAUACCGCAUACGUCCUACGGGAGAAAGCAGGGGAUCUUCGGACCUUGCGCUAUAGAUGAGCCUAAGUCGGAUUAGCUAGUUGGUGGGGUAAAGGCCUACCAAGGCGACGAUCUGUAGCGGGUCUGAGAGGAUGAUCCGCCACACUGGGACUGAGACACGGCCCAGACUCCUACGGGAGGCAGCAGUGGGGAAUAUUGGACAAUGGGGGGAACCCUGAUCCAGCCAUGCCGCGUGUGUGAAGAAGGCCUUAUGGUUGUAAUGCACUUUAAGCGAGGAGGAGGCUACUUUAGUUAAUACCUAGAGAUAGUGGACGUUACUCGCAGAAUAAGCACCGGCUAACUCUGUGCCAGCCGCCGCCGUAA
rnacentral:rRNA from 1 species